GUAGAGGCUGGAUGGGUAGAACUUUUAUACUAUUUAAACAGUUACUACAAUAAUUAUUGUUACUGUAAUGGGCCAAGGCCCAAACACAUGACUGUUUCUGUAUUGAGAUGGGCUAAAGCCCAAACUGAUAUUGUCACUGUACUAAAAAGGGCUUAGGCCCAAACUGUACUUGUUUUCUGACUGUUUACUUAUAUGGGAUUACACACUGAUUUUUCAUAAACUCAC
rnacentral:lncRNA from 1 species